AGUUAAUCUAAUUUAAAUGCAAGUUUUAUAAAAAAAAACCGACUAGACAAAUACUAAAGCUUACAUUUGACUAGCAGCUGCGACCGAAAAGCGUGCCUAUCAAUUUGGAGCAAGUCAAGAACAAGGGAGGGAGGCCAAAGGCAGAUGCCUCUAAUCCUUUUAACGAUUAAUGGAACGAAUGUGAAUGCGAGCAUAUAAAUAGCUAAUCAGGAAGGGCAUCACUGAUAUCGUACUCUUGUUUCUGUUUGCUCGAACAACUCAAUUAGUUGGAUCGAUAUACUUGCGAGACUCAGACAAUUAGACACACAUGGCGUAUGCGUAAUGUACAAGAAAGGGGGGAAACAAGCCCCAGUUGUGUUGACUUGGAACGUUUGAUAUCCUACACUAAUAAUAAAAUAAGAAUAACGAGAAAACUAUAUGCUUCAAAAUUAAACUAAACAAUUUAAUGGAACUGAAUAAAAGGCAAAGACAACAUAUGUAGAUACAAUAAUAUUUGAAGAUUUCUUUCACCUUAUUAAAAGAUAAAGCUUAUUAAGAUUUACAAAAGUGUAGAUCACAGUAAGCAUUAUUUAAACACUAGAAAGAUGAAUUUAUUGUUUUGAAAUUUUAAGUCAUUGCAUUCAAUAUGUGUCUUUGUGAAAAGUGCGAAGGUCUAGAUGAAUGGUGUUGUUCAUUCGAACGAAAGCUUUGGUUCUUUUCUAUUUUUUCUCUAGGAAUGACAGUCUUUUGUGCCAUAUUGAUUUAUGCCUUCCGUAAUAUUAUUAGACCUAUUUAUGGUCUUACUGCAAUCAUCUCCCUUCACUUGAUUGCUGCUAUUACUGUGAUAAUCGGCAUUAAAAAAUCAAUGGACAAGCUCUUCCUGAUAGGCCUUAUUUUUAGUUCGAUCGCUCCCUAUACCUUUUUCAUGACGAUCUUUUGGCCAAUUAUGCACACACUUUUUAUAAUCAUUGGAUGUAGACAUAUAACAACCGAACCAGAUGUCUAAACUGUGAUCAAAAAGCUAGCAGAAUAUUUAUAUGAGACCAAUAGAAGAAAUGGAUGAGCUACAUUUGCCAAUCAGAAACCAUCUUUUAACUACUUUGAUUCCAUCCUAAUGCCUGAUGAACGUGUUAUGGUCAAUAGUAUAACGAAGACUGAGAUCAAAGUAGGCAACUAAAUAUACUAAAAUGUAUUCGAUAUUCAAUUCACUAGUCCGUAAAUAUCAAACUUAAUAUGUGCAUUUGUGAAUCGUUUACUUUUCUGGAUGAAUGGUGUUGGCCGUUGAAGCGAAAAAUUUGGUUCUUUGCGAUUUGGACUUUAGCCCAUGGCAUUCUUAUAUUAGCAGUUGAAUUGGUGUUUUUUAUACUGUCACUGAAAGAGUGCAAUAUUGAUGUGGGAUUUAUUAUUGCUAUUCCUCACAUAAUUGCUGGAAUUUUAAUGAUAUUAAGCAUACAAAAAUCUAAGGCAUCCCUAUUUAUGACGAGUAUUGUUAUUAGUUCAAUUCUUCCUUUCGGUUUCGGCAUUUCGAUAUAUUUGCCAAUCAUGCAAAUCAUAUUCAUAAUAAUUGGAUGCAGAUAUUAUAGUACUGUAUUAAAGGAAUAACUGUAAGAGUAUGAAAAAUUUUAAGCAAUGUAAAUACUAUAAAUAAUAUUAAUCAGUUAGCCAAUGAAGAAAGCUAAUACAGAAUUUUUUCUAUGGUUGCAAAUUAUUGUAAUAUACUAUAAGAUAUUAGAAGCGAGAUGUGCAUCUGCAGCGCAUGUAAAUGGAUUGACAACAUCUGCUGUCCGCUCGCCAAGAAAGCGCAAUUUUUUGCAUUUUGGACAUUGAUUCAUGGCUUGGUAAUGACCACCCUCAGUCUCAUUUACCAAUUCUGGGAGGAGAAAGAAUGGAAAUAUGCAGCAUUCGCAGUCGCCAUACCUCAUUUAGUUGCCGGAUUAUUAAUGGUAUAUAGCAUUUACAAGUCUUUACCAACUCUCUAUCUAGUGUCUGUGAUUGGCUCAUCGUUCGGUCCCUUUGCGCUCUUUUUAGUCGCAUAUUUGCCAAUAAUGCAAAUAUUUGAAAUAAUCGUUGCUUGUCGGUUUUAUAGUACGGUUUUGAAAUAAUUGAAAAUUGCAAAGUACGACUGUCAUGUUGAAAUUAUGUUAUAAGUGUACUCCAUUAAUUCAUCGUUUGUUUUCACGCACGGCUAGCGACAUACAAAUGCCGCAGUUUCUGCGUUUUUGGUCCAAUUAAGAAAGAGGGGAAUUAAAACUAUGCAAACUUA